rnacentral:rRNA from 1 species
UACGAGUGCCCCAAGCGUUAUCCGGAAUUAUUGGGCGUAAAGGGUGUGUAGGCGGCAUGGUUAGUCUCUUGUUAAAGCUCUCGGCUCAACCGGGAAGGUGCAAGGGAAACGGCCAUUGCUAGAGGAUGUGAGAGGUGAAUGGAACUCAUGGUGUAGGGGUGAAAUCCGUUGAUAUCAUGGGGAACACCAAAAGCGAAGGCAAUUCACUGGCACAUUCCUGACGCUGAGACACGAAAGCGUGGGUAGCGAAUGGG